UACGAAGGGGGCUAGCGUUGCUCGGAAUCACUGGGCGUAAAGGGUGCGUAGGCGGGUCUUUAAGUCAGGGGUGAAAUCCUGGAGCUCAACUCCAGAACUGCCUUUGAUACUGAGAGCUUGAGUCCGGGAGAGGUGAGUGGAACUGCGAGUGUAGAGGUGAAAUUCGUAGAUAUUCGCAAGAACACCAGUGGCGAAGGCGGCUCACUGGCCCGGUACUGACGCUGAGGUGCGAAAGCGUGGGGAGCAAACAGG
rnacentral:rRNA from 1 species